rnacentral:lncRNA from 1 species
GUUAGGAGUCAGACACUGGCUGGGGCUGGGUUCAUCAGAUCACUGCACUAUUCUUUUAUUUAUCAAAUAUUUAUUGACUCUCUAUUUUGUGUGAAGCGCCGCUAAGCGGUGAAGAUACAAUAGUUAUUACAGCAUAAUUCUAGUCUCCUUGGGACAGGAUGCCAUCUUUAAGAAUCUCAGUAGGUGGUAAGUGCUAAAAAAUAGUAUGAAAGAGCAUUAUGGACUCAUGGAGUCAAACAUGGAAGGCUUCCUGGAGUUGGUGACUUAUGAGGGGACUCAAGAAACCCACUCUCAGGCAAGGGACUGAAACUCGCCAGAUUGCUACUCCCAGACAACGAGAAGACAGACCCCUCAUUUGUCGUGAUUACUUCCUUAUCUCUCCUUCAAUCCUUCCUGCAUGUAGCUACCUUCCUUCCCCCACCGUACAAACCCCCCAAGUCGGGGGGAUGAAUUUGAGACUCCUCUCCCAUUCUCCUUGUUGACAUCACCUGAACAAAGCCUUUCUUUCCUGGCGAUACUCAUUGUCUCAGCGAUUGGCUUUCUGUGCAGUGAGCAAUGGGACCUAGACUGAAUGCCUGGUGCUCUGGUAACAAUUACAUAAGUCUAUUCUAUAAGAAAUGCCAUUACUAUAUAUUUCCAUAUCAUCUAUUUA